UGAUUUCCCUAGUAACGGCGAGUGAAGAGGAAAGAGCUCAAAGUUGGAACCUGUUUGGCCUAGCUAAACUGGAUUGUAAACUGUAGAGGUGUUUUCCAGGCAAUCCGAAUUAAUAAGUCCUUUGGAACAGGGCAUCAUAGAGGGUGAGAAUCCCGUCUUUGAUUCGAGAUAUUUUGUCUUUUGCGAUACACUUUCAAAGAGUCAGGUUGUUUGGGAAUGCAGCCUAAAUUGGGUGGUAAAUCUCACCUAAAGCUAAAUAUUGGCGAGAAACCGAUAGCGAACAAGUACCGUGAGGGAAAGAUGAAAAGAACUUUGAAAAGAGAGUUAAACAGUAUGUGAAAUUGUUAAAAGGGAACCGUUUGGAGCCAGAUUGGCUUGUCUGUAAUCAAUCUAGGUUUCGUGCCUGGAUGCACUUGCAGACUAAUUGCCUGCCAACGACAAUUUUUUUUGAGUGUAAAAACUAUUGGAAAUGUGGCCAAUAUGUAUUUAUUGGUGUUAUAGUCCUUUAGAAAAUACCUUGGAUUGGAUUGAGGAACGCAGCGAAUGCCUCUUGUAGGCAAAGCCUUUUAUAGGAAUUUACGGAUCAGACUGUGGCAUUGUCACAAGACUUGAGGUUUAGCCCUAUUUUUGAGCUUUUAUUCGCUUAGGUUGUUGGCUUAAUGACUCUAAAUGACCCGUCUUGAAACACGGACCAAGGAGUCCACCAUUAGUGCGAGUAUUUGGGUGCCAAACCCAUAUGCGCAAGGAAACUGAAUGAUAUGAAUCCAUUUAGGAGGCAAUAUCGUCCGGCGUUGACGUUUUAUACUGAAGUGACCGAGAUAAAGCACUAAUGAUGGGACCCGAAAGAUGGUGAACUAUGCCUGAAUAGGGUGAAGCCAGAGGAAACUCUGGUGGAGGCUCGUAGCGAUUCUGACGUGCAAAUCGAUCGUCAAAUUUGGGUAUAGGGGCGAAAGACUAAUCGAACCAUCUAGUAGCUGGUUCCUGCCGAAGUUUCCCUCAGGAUAGCAGAAACUUAUUAGGCAGUUUUAUGUGGUAAAGCGAAUGACUGGGGUACUGGGGAGCUAAUUGCUCUUCAUCCACUCUCAAACUUUAAAUAUGUAAGACGACCUGUUUGCUUAAUUGAAGCAGGUCAUUGAAUGCAGAGUUUCUAGUGGGCCAUUUUUGGUAAGCAGAACUGGCGAUGCGGGAUGAACCGAACGCAGAGUUAAGGUGCCGGAAUACACGCUCAUCAGACACCACAAAAGGUGUUAGUUCAUCUAGACAGCAGGACGGUGGCCAUGGAAGUCGGAAUCCGCUAAGGAGUGUGUAACAACUCACCUGCCGAAUGAACUAGCCCUGAAAAUGGAUGGCGCUUAAGCGUGUUACCCAUACUCUGCCGUUAUUGUAAAAGCGAAGCAAUAACGAGUAGGCAGGCGUGGAGGUUUUUAUAAACUGUUAAGAAGCU
rnacentral:rRNA from 1 species